GGAGAGGUGGCAGAGUGGUCGAAUGCGCGGGUUUGCUAAAUCCGUGAGGGGCUAUAAGCUCCUCCGAGGGUUCGAAUCCCUCCCUCUCCGCUA
rnacentral:tRNA from 1 species